AAUAACACCAAAUUAAUAAUUUCGUUAAAUGCUGCAAAAUGUCCACCUUGUAUAUCUUGUGUGACGGAUAGUAUGACAACCUACAUCAUAUGACUAUUACUGAUCAUGUGACUACUAAUUAUAUUACAAGAAGAAAAAGAAAAAGUGAAAAACACUACAGCAUAUGCAAUUAAAAAUAUACAGAUAUAUUAUUAAUAAGAUUUUUUUAAGUGUGAGUUAAAUACUUCAAACAAAUGUCGUGUGUUUCUAUAACAUCAUAUUCUAUUUAGAUAUUAUAAAACGUUAUUAUAUCAGUUUUUACUUUUUCUUAUGAUAUUGUUUUUCCAUAAAUCGAUUUUCAAACUCUAACAUCAAAAACUGCAAAAUAAUUAAAACAGACUUUUAUAGAAAAUUAUGUCAUUUUCACAUGACAUAAAUAUUUAAUUAUUAGAAAAUAUUUAUAAGAGCGGUAUUAUUUAUUUUGAAUAUAAUAGAAUAAAUGAUAAUAAUUAUGUGAUUACUAUAUUAAGACUUUGUUAGAAAGUCAAAUUUGCCGAAAGCAAAAACCCAUCUGUUCAUCGUGAAUGACGUAAUCGACGCGAGUCGAAUCACCUUUUCUGCGCAAGAAUAGGAAGAACAAAUAACGUUUUGUUAGCGACCGAUAAAUAGUGCUAGAUGGUCAGUAUGUGCUAUAUAUAUAAGAUCGCAGAUGACCACUCGCGGCAGUUUAUCUUCCAAUGGUAGACAUUCCAUCACAUCCAUCUUUGUCAAUCGAAACGCGCGUCACCCAAUUGAUCGAAUUGUCUAAGAAGAUUUAUUAUCAAUAAGUGCAAAUUAAAAGACUAAUUAAAAAACACUGACUUUAUAGUUGAAGUAAAGAAUCACGAUUUAUAAAGAUUAAAAGUGAAGAAUAAUUACAUGGAAAGUUUAUAUUUCAGUGAAGAGAAAAAAUUCAAUAGAAGAAUGUUAAAGAUCUCAUUGUCAAUUCUAAGCGUCUGUAUCCAAAUUAAAACUGAUUGAAGAAGAGAAAUCUGUGAAAUUUUUAAAAACAUUUUUACAACUUUAGAAUACCAUAAAUAUACAU